AUUCCAUGUUGAUUUAUGUGGUAAGAAGGUAGCAAAUAACUGCAGCGACAGCAGUGAGGGCAAAUUGUUAUUCAAGACCCUGGACUCACCUCAUCAGCUCUUGUCCAAAGUCCUGAAAUGAAUCGCAGAGCUUCAGAAAUGAGUCCCUCUAGGGAUUGUAAGGAGGGGAUCCCUGCCUCAGAAAAGAGUUUUAAAAGCAUUCAGCAGGAGAGAUCAGUGUCACCUGUACCCAGCUGCACGUCCAUGAAGAGUGACCG